rnacentral:lncRNA from 1 species
UCGUAUAUAUACUAUAUGACGAGAUCACGAAAUAUUAUUUAUUUUUCGAGUAGGGUCGAGAUGUCGUCGGAGAUGAACUUUGGUUCGGAGAAUGGCUGCAAGUGCGGAGCCAACUGCAGCUGCGUGAACUGCACCUGCAACAAUUGAGUCCCGGACACGGGCGUAUGGUGUAUUCCCUACGAAGCAGCGAUUAUUGAUAUGAUAUGUCUGUAAUAAAAUCACCUUAAAGCUUUGUACGGAUUUUACGACCGGUUUGGUAUAAUAAAAACAUAUGAAAUUUCAGCCAUAUUGUCUCUGUUAACGUAAAGGUAACUGUCCAAACAGUCCCUAAUGAGAA